GCCACGAGUUAGCGGCGAAUUUGGAGAGUGUCCAUUUUGAGCAGCGAGUCGGCGUCUCCGGUAUUUUCCUAUUAAAUCUCUCAGAGAACCCACCGUUAGAAUGGCAGACGCUGAAAAUCUGCUCAUGGAGACAUCAGAGCAGAACGGUAACGAGGGAGAGGAAGACCAGAACGGAGCCGAGCAGGAGCUCAUGGGCGGAGAUGAUUGCCAGGAUGUUCAGGACGGUCAGGAAUGCCAGGAUGGCCAGGACGGCCAGGACAACGGCACAGAUGGAGGCAAGAUUGACGCCAGCAAAGGAGAGGAAGAUGCUGGUAAAAUGUUCGUUGGCGGCCUCAGCUGGGACACAAGUAAAAAAGACCUGAAGGAUUACUUCAGUAAGUUCGGCGAGGUGUCAGACUGCACCAUCAAGAUGGACUCCAACACUGGCCGAUCCCGAGGCUUCGGCUUUGUCCUAUUCAAAGACUCUGCCAGCGUGGACAAGGUGCUGGAGCAGAAGGAACACAGACUGGACGGACGUCAGAUUGACCCCAAGAGGGCGAUGGCCAUGAAGAAGGAGCCUGUCAAAAAGAUCUUUGUUGGCGGUUUGAACCCAGAAGCAACUGAGGAAACCAUCAGGGAAUAUUUCGGGGCCUUUGGAGAGAUUGAAACCAUUGAACUUCCCAUUGACCCCAAAUCAAAGAAAAGGAGGGGUUUCAUCUUUAUCACAUACAAAGAUGAAGCCAGCGUCAAGAAGUGUCUGGAGAAGAAAUACCACAACAUCGAGGGCGGCAGGUGUGAGCUGAAGAUCGCUCAGCCAAAAGAGGUGUACCAGCAGCAGCAGUAUGGAGCAGGACGAGGUGGUGGUUAUGGUGGCCGGGGAGGGAGAGGCCGUGGAGGUCAGAGCCAGGGCUGGAACCAGGGCUAUGGAAACUACUGGAACCAGGGAUACGGUAAUCAAGGCUAUGGCUAUGGUGGAUACAGCGGCUAUGGCAACUAUGACUACUCUUCUGGUUACUACGGAUACGGUCCUGGAUAUGAUUACAACCAGGGCAGUGCCAGCUAUGGGAAAACCCCGAGACGGGGGGCACACCAGACCGGCUACAAGCCAUACUGAUGAUCACAUGGACUCGCGAUCCAGUGAGACCGACAGCCGGACGGAUACACUGAUCCUGACUCAACCUCUUUUAUGACAGAAGACCAUUUGUACAGAAAACAACAGAAAUGCUCUGGGGUGGAAGAUUGAAACCAGCUCAACAACUUUUUUAAUGGUUUUAUUAUGAUGAUUUUUUGGUUUUGAUGAUCUGUAAUAAUGAAAAAUGUUAGGCAGGUAACUUUAAAGUUAUUUAGCUUAACUCAGGAAUUGUAUUUCACAUCCCCGCAGAGGACACAUUUGUGUUUUUGUCUUUUUAUUUUUCCCUCCAUUUUUACAUGUAGUGUAGUGUAGUGUAGUGUACCAUUAAGGAAUUUAAACUCUCAGUCAUAAUUCCUUAAACCUUGAAGGACUGCCUGAAAGCUUUUGUCUAAGAUGUUCUGAUUUUACAAAGUAAACACCUCAAAGCAUGCACAUGUGUUGGAUGAAAUAUAUAAUAUAGCCAUGCAGCCACCUAACUACAUGUAACUACGGACCUCUUACUAUAUUCACGCCAUUUUUUUUUUUAUUUUUAAUUUUUUUUUAAACCAACCAAACUGUUAGUUUCUGUGCUGGUUUAGUUUGCUUGUCAAGUUAUUCUUAGAAUAACUUCUGAAGUUAAAUGUCUGCUUAGUUUUUCUGGAUGGACUUCAGGCCUUUGGAGUGUCCUCAGCCAGUGUCUCUGGCUGUAUAUUAGAAAUAAACGUUCUUGUUUGUAAUUGUUUUUCCUAAUGCUUAAUGUUACUGUUAAUUAUGAACUGAGCCCUGAAG